UCGUGGUAGGGAGUGUGUGGGAAAGUCUUGACAAGUUUUCAAGUUCUUCUAAGAACUUUUAGAUUUUUGUUUCUUCUGGUUUGAGUUUUACUGUUUUAUUUUCUACAAAGUCAUCAGUGUUUCUUCUAUAGUUGAGCAAAGUAAUCUCUUGAAAUUAUUUUGAUUUUCUAGUCAUCUGCGGUCAUUUUCCUUUUCUCACUUAAGACCUACUUUAACAUAUGGAGAAAUUGAAGCCCAGAGGAAUCAAGUAAGUUUUCCAGGAACGAGGAGCAGAGAAGAAUGUUUUGAACAUUGGCAGCCUGACUCCAACACUCAUGCUGUUAAGUCUUGUACUAUAGCACCCUCCUGUCUACCACAUUAGCCCUGCAAGUGAACUUACAACACACCAGUACUAAUAUCAUGGUUCAGAAAAUUC